AGCAGGAGAGCUGAGUUUACUUUAAACCUGUCAGCUUUCAAAGGGCUGCGGGUUCGAGCGCUGUGUGUGGACCGGGCCAGGGAUCAGCACCGGUUUGCUUUUAAUGCUUCAUGCACGUGACUGAAGACUUUGUAUGAACCCAUGUCGGGUGUUUUGCUGGGCUUCCACUCGGUGACCAACUCUUCAGCCCGAAUAUGGAGAGCUCGGGUUCACACACGGUCAGCGCACCUCGUGAUGCGGCUCCGUUGGAGGGGAAAAUUACAUUCAGCUCGGCAUGGAAAGAAAACCGAAACAGAAGAAGUGCCAUCUCUCACACGGGAAAGUCACUGAGAACUGACAGCGACAUAUCCCACGUGUCACGUGUCGCCCCCGUGACGUCACCCAUAUCCGCUUUGCAGCGCGUGAACCUGCCCGGGGUGAUGGACGCAGAGGGCAGAGUGGACGAGUCCAGACUGCGGAUACACAUAUUCAAAAACGGGGGUGUUUCUCCUGAGGUGCGAGGCCUGGUUUGGCGCUUCUUAUUUGGCAUGUACCCGUGCAGCUCUACACCACAGGAGCGCACCCUGUUGCUGGAAGAGAUGUCAGUGCGUUACCAUGUUAUGAAGAGGAAGUGGCAAUGUCUGCUUCCUGGAGCUGUUCGUCUGCGUCUUAAUGGCACUGAUGCUGAGCUGGUAGCAGCAGUGCAAUAUUUUGAGCAGAGGCAGGAGAGAGAAAGAGAAACACAGCAGUACCAGUACAAGUCAAAAGAAGUCACAGAAAGGAUUUCCUUCCUGGAGCUUCAGGCACAGGUCCUGUUUGAACGGGUGACUUUUGACCUGGAAGAACUUCAGGAGGCUAUCCGUAUCAUCGACAAAGAUGUCCCGAGAACUGACAGAGGCCUGGCCUACUACAUGGAUGAAGGCCUGGGUAAUCUACUGGUGCUGAGAGACAUCCUGAUCACCUAUGCUGCUUUCCACCCAGAGGUCAGUUAUGCCCAGGGUAUGAAUGAUUUGUGCAGUCGGUUCCUGGAGGUUCUGGAUUCAGAAGUGGACACAUACUGGAGCUUUUGUUGUUACAUGCAAAAAUUUUCAAGAGACUUCUGUGCUGAUGGGCUGCACCGCAAAAUUGAAUUGGAGGCAGCUCUGUUAAAGGAGUUGGACCCUCACCUUCAUGCUCAUCUUGUAUCAGACAGUAUGGACAGACUGACAUUCUGUCACAGGUGGCUGCUGCUGGGUUUCCAGCGUGAGUUUGAGCACAGUGAUGCUCUCCGGCUAUUUGAGAUUCUCAGCUGUGAUCAUCUAGAGCUCAUUUCCCAGCAGGUGGACCGGGCACGCUACCAGGAGAGACUGGCCUGCAAAUACAGUCUUCAGGAUGAACCAGUGACAGAGCCUCAGUCCAUUAACAGAGAGUUCACAUUUGAACUCUUCAUCUGUGCCACCAUUCUGCUGGAGAACAGAGAGUCGCUGCUCAGCUGCAGAAAUGAGGUCCAGCUCCUACAGUUCACAAACAGCCUGCAGGGGACUCUGGAUUUGAACAGCAGCCUGAAGAAAGCUGAGGAGCAUUUCUAUAACUACUGUAAGCGCUCAGCCAGGGAUUGCUUUAGUGAGCGCUACCGUAGACACAAGAGCAAAGAGGAGCCCUUCCUCUACCAGCUGCGCAACCUGUUCUCCUGAGCUAAAGGAGGAUUUUCUGGAUAUUUCUGGAAGAUGCCAGUUAAAAUGGCUGGCCUUUCUGAGGAAAGAAUGUUGUAAUGCAAAGGAAUGUUCAUAUUGCUUUAGACUGAAUAAUGCUGCUGAAAUACGUGACCAGUUUAUGGAGAAGGUGAUCAUUCAUGAAUAAUCUGUAGUCAAAGGAAUAUUGAGAUGAGCGUCUACUUUUCUUGUUGAAAAUGUAUCCGUGUAUAUAUAUUAGUCUGAUAAAUUGGCCCCUAAUCCAAGUCCUGGUGAGUGACACAGUAAAAUCCCCAGUAUUCUUGGGUUUCAGUCACGUGACUUUUCUUAGCGAUUUCACUUCCAUUAAAACUCUAGCAAACCAAAAUGGUUGCCGUAGUGCAAACAACUAGCGAUAGCUUAUCAGAGUAUGCUCGUAAUCUAGAAGCCACUGCUCGGUUUAGAUAUAUUCAGGAGAUUGCUAUGUGCAAUGGAAUCGACCCCUACAGUCUGGGAAAGAAGGAUUUGUUAUAUGAUCUCAAAAACUACCUUUCAGUCGAGUUCCCCGACAUCUCGAACUAUCUGGUGUUGCAGACGUUCUUCUACACCGCAAAACCGAUGAAAGCGUGGAAGAGUAUGGAGGCUUACAACCUUUUUGUAUGUGGCUGGGUAAAGGACCUCGGUAUCAAGUCACUGCCGGAUGAAUCCUGUAUUGUUUUUGCCUGUGUAAAGUAAAUCAUCAGAAACCCCUUUAAAGACCUGUAUCUUAGUUAAACAAGAUGGAGAAGUGAUCACGGCGCAUUGUAACUAUAUGGCUGGGGAAGAAUUUUGUCACAACCUUCAUGCAUAUGGACUUUGUGAGGAGUAAACAAAGAAACAGCUGGGGACUUUAGCGCUUUGUGACUAAAAAAAAAUACCAUAAAAUAACAACACUUAGCAAGAAAAGUACUUGGAAAACACUAAGGACAUAGCUGAGCGGGAGAUACAAACCUUUCACCAAGUGAUCACUGCAAACUCGAGCAGGCUUCGACUCGGCUCCCUUUGAUUUCAGCAAGAGGUUCAAAAGCCACCUUUCUCAAUGUCUUUUUGUGAAAUCCUGUGUUCGUUCACCCUUUUUUAUUAGUUCACAGGGAACCCUGAAGAAACUUUUAUCAGUAUCGAACAACCUAAAACAAUGCAAGCGUAUGGCAUUUUUCAUGCGAGCAAUGCACCUUCUCCGUACAAACGCUUUGUCAGCUGAGCUUUGGUAGACCACCAGCUAAAGUUUUGAAUAACUAAUGAGGCAGAUGUGACGUCACGUGAAACCCAGCAAUUACAGUGGUGCUUGAAAGUUUGUGAACCC